AAUAGAUACCCAGGUAGUCCACGCCGUAAACGAUGAGUGCUAAGUGUUGGGGGGUUUCCGCCCCUCAGUGCUGCAGCUAACGCAUUAAGCACUCCGCCUGGGGAGUACGGUCGCAAGACUGAAACUCAAAGGAAUUGACGGGGGCCCGCACAAGCGGUGGAGCAUGUGGUUUAAUUCGAAGCAACGCGAAGAACCUUACCAGGUCUUGACAUCCCGGUGACCACUAUGGAGACAUAGUUUCCCCUUCGGGGGCAACGGUGACAGGUGGUGCAUGGUUGUCGUCAGCUCGUGUCGUGAGAUGUUGGGUUAAGUCCCGCAACGAGCGCAACCCUUAUUCUUAGUUGCCAUCAUUCAGUUGGGCACUCUAAGGAGACUGCCGGUGAUAAACCGGAGGAAGGUGGGGAUGACGUCAAAGUCAUCAUGCCCCUUAUGACCUGGGCUACACACGUGCUACAAUGGACGGUACAAACGGUUGCCAACCCGCGAGGGGGAGCUAAUCCGAUAAAACCGUUCUCAGUUCGGAUUGUAGGCUGCAACUCGCCUAC
rnacentral:rRNA from 1 species